AUGGGGCGCAGCAGGCGCGAAACCUCCGCAAUGCGGGCAACCGCGACGGGGGGACCCCCAGUGCCGUGGCAUCGCCACGGCUUUUCCGGAGUGUAAAAAGCUCCGGGAAUAAGGGCUGGGCAAGGCCGGUGGCAGCCGCCGCGGUAAUACCGGCGGCCCGAGUGGUGGCCGCUAUUAUUGGGCCUAAAGCGUCCGUAGCCGGGCCCGUAAGUCCCUGGCGAAAUCCCACGGCUCAACCGUGGGGCUUGCUGGGGAUACUGCGGGCCUUGGGACCGGGAGAGGCCGGGGGUACCCCUGGGGUAGGGGUGAAAUCCUAUAAUCCCAGGGGGACUGCCAGUGGCGAAGGCGCCCGGCUGGAACGGGUCCGACGGUGAGGGACGAAGGCCAGGGGAGCGAACCGGAUUAGAUACCCGGGUAGUCCUGGCUGUAAAGGAUGCGGGCUAGGUGUCGGGCGAGCUUCGAGCUCGCCCGGUGCCGAAGGGAAGCCGUUAAGCCCGCCGCCUGGGGAGUACGGCCGCAAGGCUGAAACUUAAAGGAAUUGGCGGGGGAGCAC
rnacentral:rRNA from 1 species